rnacentral:sRNA from 1 species
AAUAUAAUGAGAGAUUGAUAGGAUUUUCAGAUAGUGUAUAGGGGUAGGAAUGUUUCCUAUGACCCCACAAUUAUACAUUAUUUGGAAUGAUCAAUUACAAAGGUUGGAAAAAUGCCGAGGGUGUCGAUCCAGUAUGCGAGUUCUCCUUUGUUUACUCUCUAAAAAGAAUAAGUCUAGGGGAGAGAAAGAACACCAAAGAAAAAAAAGAAUGGUCAAUUUAUCAUGGUAUAGUACAGGAAUGAGUCUACAAAGAUCUUGAAUGUUAGCUUGUUUGAUGAGACCCAGCCAUGAAAGCCUGGUGGAUAUAGUUGUGGAACUUAGGUAUGGAAUAUAGAAUGUUGUGUAAGCUUGUAGAGAAGUACAUGUUGGUUAGGAUUUGAUUAGACUUGUUAGGCAUAUGGACUUAGUUUGGAUGAUCAUGGCAAUAAGCUAGAAAAUGUUGGGAGUUCCUUAGUUUUCAAAACCUCUUCCACGGGUUCGGCUUUUGUGUUUUGCUUGAGGGCUAACAAAAGCUAAGUCUGGGGGAGUUGAUAUAACCCAAUUUUCACUGAUUUUAUCUAUGUUUUAGGUAUAGGAUUUUGAGUCUUUAUGUUAUUUCUCGAGUCUUUUUAGUGUCUUUUCAGGUAUUCUAUGUAGUGUGACAACAAUGGAGAUAAGGAGACAUUUUAGAGCAAAAGCUAAGGAAAAGGAAGUUAAGGACGAUUUUGGAUUCAAGAAUCAGAGAGAGUGUCGAUCGACACACUCCUUGUGUCGAUCACCACCAGUUUCAGCCAAGCAAAGUCCAUGACGCUUUCAAGUUUAUAGAAGAGGAAAUUUGCCCCAGAAGACUUCCCUAUUUGCAUCAUUAGUACUUGGACGUUUUAUAGGGUUCUUAUACAUUGUUUAGACCUAAGUUUUCUUUUAU